UGGGGAAUAUUGAACAAUGGGCGCAAGCCUGAUGCAGCCAUGCCGCGUGUAUGAAGAAGGCCUUCGGGUUGUAAAGUACUUUCAGCGGGGAGGAAGGCGAUAAGGUUAAUAACCUUGUCGAUUGACGUUACCCGCAGAAGAAGCACCGGCUAACUCCGUGCCAGCAGCCGCGGUAAUAAGGAGGGUGCAAGCGUUAAUCGGAAUUACUGGGCGUAAAGCGCACGCAGGCGGUCUGUCAAGUCGGAUGUGAAAUCCCCGGGCUCAACCUGGGAACUGCAUUCGAAACUGGCAGGCUAGAGUCUUGUAGAGGGGGGUAGAAUUCCAGGUGUAGCGGUGAAAUGCGUAGAGAUCUGGAGGAAUACCGGUGGCGAAGGCGGCCCCCUGGACAAAGACUGACGCUCAGGUGCGAAAGCGUGGGGAGCAAACA
rnacentral:rRNA from 1 species